rnacentral:rRNA from 1 species
AUUGAACGCUGGCGGCAGGCCUAACACAUGCAAGUCGAGCGGCAGCGGGAAAGUAGCUUGCUACUUUUGCCGGCGAGCGGCGGACGGGUGAGUAAUGCCUGGGAAAUUGCCCAGUCGAGGGGGAUAACAGUUGGAAACGACUGCUAAUACCGCAUACGCCCUACGGGGGAAAGCAGGGGACCUUCGGGCCUUGCGCGAUUGGAUAUGCCCAGGUGGGAUUAGCUAGUUGGUGAGGUAAUGGCUCACCAAGGCGACGAUCCCUAGCUGGUCUGGGAGGAGGAUCAGCCACACUGGAACUGAGACACGGUCCAGACUCCUACGGGAGGCAGCAGUGGGGAAUAUUGCACAAUGGGGAAACCCUGAUGCAGCCAUGCCGCGUGUGUGAAGAAGGCCUUCGGGUUGUAAAGCACUUUCAGCGAGGAGGAAAGGUUGAUGCCUAAUACGUAUCAACUGUGACGUUACUCGCAGAAGAAGCACCGGCUAACUCCGUGCCAGCCGCCGCGGUAA